rnacentral:rRNA from 1 species
AGCGAACGCUGGCGGCAGGCCUAACACAUGCAAGUCGAACGAACCUUUCGGGGUUAGUGGCGGACGGGUGAGUAACACGUGGGAACGUGCCUUUAGGUUCGGAAUAACUCAGGGAAACUUGUGCUAAUACCGAAUGUGCCCUUCGGGGGAAAGAUUUAUCGCCUUUAGAGCGGCCCGCGUCUGAUUAGCUAGUUGGUUGAGGUAAUGGCUCACCAAGGCGACGAUCAGUAGCUGGUCUGAGAGGAUGAUCAGCCACAUUGGGAAUGAGACGCGGCCCAAACUCCUACGGGAGGCCGGAGUGGGGAAUCUUGCGAAAUGGGCGAAAGCCUGACGCAGCCAUGCCGCGUGAAUGAUGAAGGUAUUAGGAUUGUAAAAUUCUUUCACCGGGGACGAUAAUGACGGUACCCGGAGAAGAAGCCCCGGCUAACUUCGUG